CACUAUCGUUAACUGAAUACAUAGGUUAACGAGGCGAACCGGGGGAACUGAAACAUCUAAGUACCCCGAGGAAAAGAAAUCAACCGAGAUUCCCCCAGUAGCGGCGAGCGAACGGGGAGCAGCCCAGAGUCUGAAUCAGCUUGUGUGUUAGUGGAACGGUCUGGAAAGUCCGACGGUACAGGGUGAUAGUCCCGUACACCAAAAUGCACAGGUUGUGAACUCGAAGAGUAGGGCGGGACACGUGGUAUCCUGUCUGAAUAUGGGGGGACCAUCCUCCAAGGCUAAAUACUCCUGACUGACCGAUAGUGAACCAGUACCGUGAGGGAAAGGCGAAAAGAACCCCGGCGAGGGGAGUGAAAAAGAACCUGAAACCGUGUACGUACAAGCAGUGGGAGCACCUUCGGGUGUGACUGCGUACCUUUUGUAUAAUGGGUCAGCGACUUAUAUUCUGUAGCAAGGUUAACCGUAUAGGGGAGCCGCAGGGAAACCGAGUCUUAACUGGGCGUUAAGUUGCAGGGUAUAGACCCGAAACCCGGUGAUCUAGCCAUGGGCAGGUUGAAGGUUGGGUAACACUAACUGGAGGACCGAACCGACUAAUGUUGAAAAAUUAGCGGAUGACUUGUGGCUGGGGGUGAAAGGCCAAUCAAACCGGGAGAUAGCUGGUUCUCCCCGAAAGCUAUUUAGGUAGCGCCUCGUGAAUUCAUCUUCGGGGGUAGAGCACUGUUUCGGCUAGGGGGUCAUCCCGACUUACCAACCCGAUGCAAACUACGAAUACCGAAGAAUGUUAUCACGGGAGACACACGGCGGGUGCUAACGUCCGUCGUGAAGAGGGAAACAACCCAGACCGCCAGCUAAGGUCCCAAAGUCAUGGUUAAGUGGGAAACGAUGUGGGAAGGCACAGACAGCCAGGAUGUUGGCUUAGAAGCAGCCAUCAUUUAAAGAAAGCGUAAUAGCUCACUGGUCGAGUCGGCCUGCGCGGAAGAUGUAACGGGGCUAAACCAUGCACCGAAGCUGCGGCAGCGACACUAUGUGUUGUUGGGUAGGGGAGCGUUCUGUAAGCCUGCGAAGGUGUGCUGUGAGGCAUGCUGGAGGUAUCAGAAGUGCGAAUGCUGACAUAAGUAACGAUAAAGCGGGUGAAAAGCCCGCUCGCCGGAAGACCAAGGGUUCCUGUCCAACGUUAAUCGGGGCAGGGUGAGUCGACCCCUAAGGCGAGGCCGAAAGGCGUAGUCGAUGGGAAACAGGUUAAUAUUCCUGUACUUGGUGUUACUGCGAAGGGGGGACGGAGAAGGCUAUGUUAGCCGGGCGACGGUUGUCCCGGUUUAAGCAUGUAGGCUGGUUAUCCAGGCAAAUCCGGAUAAUCAAGGCUGAGGUGUGAUGACGAGGCACUACGGUGCUGAAGUAACAAAUGCCCUGCUUCCAGGAAAAGCCUCUAAGCAUCAGGUAACAUUAAAUCGUACCCCAAACCGACACAGGUGGUCAGGUAGAGAAUACCAAGGCGCUUGAGAGAACUCGGGUGAAGGAACUAGGCAAAAUGGUGCCGUAACUUCGGGAGAAGGCACGCUGGUGUGUAGGUGAAGUCCCUGCGGAUGGAGCUGAGACCAGUCGAAGAUACCAGCUGGCUGCAACUGUUUAUUAAAAACACAGCACUGUGCAAACACGAAAGUGGACGUAUACGGUGUGACGCCUGCCCGGUGCCGGAAGGUUAAUUGAUGGGGUUAUCCGUAAGGAGAAGCUCUUGAUCGAAGCCCCGGUAAACGGCGGCCGUAACUAUAACGGUCCUAAGGUAGCGAAAUUCCUUGUCGGGUAAGUUCCGACCUGCACGAAUGGCGUAAUGAUGGCCAGGCUGUCUCCACCCGAGACUCAGUGAAAUUGAACUCGCUGUGAAGAUGCAGUGUACCCGCGGCAAGACGGAAAGACCCCGUGAACCUUUACUAUAGCUUGACACUGAACAUUGAGCCUUGAUGUGUAGGAUAGGUGGGAGGCUUUGAAGCGUGGACGCCAGUCUGCGUGGAGCCAACCUUGAAAUACCACCCUUUAAUGUUUGAUGUUCUAACGUUGGCCCCUGACCGGGGUUGCGGACAGUGUCUGGUGGGUAGUUUGACUGGGGCGGUCUCCUCCCAAAGCGUAACGGAGGAGCACGAAGGUUAGCUAAUCCUGGUCGGACAUCAGGAGGUUAGUGCAAUGGCAUAAGCUAGCUUGACUGCGAGCGUGACGGCGCGAGCAGGUGCGAAAGCAGGUCAUAGUGAUCCGGUGGUUCUGAAUGGAAGGGCCAUCGCUCAACGGAUAAAAGGUACUCCGGGGAUAACAGGCUGAUACCGCCCAAGAGUUCAUAUCGACGGCGGUGUUUGGCACCUCGAUGUCGGCUCAUCACAUCCUGGGGCUGAAGUAGGUCCCAAGGGUAUGGCUGUUCGCCAUUUAAAGUGGUACGCGAGCUGGGUUUAGAACGUCGUGAGACAGUUCGGUCCCUAUCUGCCGUGGGCGCUGGAGAAUUGAGGGGGGCUGCUCCUAGUACGAGAGGACCGGAGUGGACGCAUCACUGGUGUUCGGGUUGUCAUGCCAAUGGCACUGCCCGGUAGCUAAAUGCGGAAGAGAUAAGUGCUGAAAGCAUCUAAGCACGAAACUUGCCCCGAGAUGAGUUCUCCCUGAGACUUUAAGUCUCCUGAAGGAACGUUGAAGACGA
rnacentral:rRNA from 1 species